rnacentral:rRNA from 1 species
GCUGGCGGCAUGCUUUACACAUGCAAGUCGGACGGCAGCACAGAGAAGCUUGCUUCUCGGGUGGCGAGUGGCGAACGGGUGAGUAACAUAUCGGAACGUACCGAGUAGUGGGGGAUAACUGAUCGAAAGAUCAGCUAAUACCGCAUACGUCUUGAGAGAGAAAGCAGGGGACUUUCGGGCCUUGCGCUAUUCGAGCGGCCGAUAUCUGAUUAGCUAGUUGGUGGGGUAAAGGCCUACCAAGGCGACGAUCAGUAGCGGGUCUGAGAGGAUGAUCCGCCACACUGGGACUGAGACACGGCCCAGACUCCUACGGGAGGCAGCAGUGGGGAAUUUUGGACAAUGGGCGCAAGCCUGAUCCAGCCAUGCCGCGUGUCUGAAGAAGGCCUUCGGGUUGUAAAGGACUUUUGUCAGGGAAGAAAAGGCUGUUGCUAAUAUCAGCGGCUGAUGACGGUACCUGAAGAAUAAGCACCGGCUAAC